rnacentral:sRNA from 1 species
CACUCGUUUUGACCGAAUAUCGACUUUCAUCAUCGAUUCAUCAGAGGGAAUAUGUAUUGGCGGAUCUUGAUGCUUGAUCCAGAACCCGAUCCGUCAUCUGAGUUGGUGAAUAAAAUAAUAACGCUCACCCACAUGCCUAUCAAGAUAUAAAGUGCUGCGCCUGUUCGAUGGUUAUAGUCAACCAACCUUCCACCCAGGAUCUUUUAAAAAAAAAAAAAAAAGAAAGAAAGAAAGAAGGUAGCAUAUCUUUGAGGAAGGAGAAUAAUGAACGAGGUUAGCAGUUCCGGCUAGCUAGAAGACAAAUAAACAAUAAAAAAAAGAUCACAUUUAUCAUAUUCAUGGGAAGAGGUUUGGGCGGACAAAUAGAAAAAUAGAAAAAUAAAAAAAAAUAAAUAAAUAAAUAAAUAAAAAACAGAGAAGACUAGGAAGAGGUGGGAGGCAAGAUGGGGGCGGGGAUUAAAUGGAUGUCGACCGGGGGUGAUCUGGGUUGGGAAGGGGGUAUCGGAGACGUUGUGAUUUGAAGUUGAUGAUACAUGUGAGGUAAGAAGCCGAAAGAGAAGAAAAAGAAUUCUCGCUGACACUGCAUGCUACAAUGGAUCUAGAAAGAAGGAAAAAAGGGACCACGAUUUUUUUUGCAACAAGUUUACUAGCCAGGACCUGCCCUACCAGCCAAGUAAACAGAUUGCGAAUUAUGAAGGGGAGAAGGAAACGGCGAAGGGGGAAAAGAACACAAGGAUGACCCAGCUGAGAUUUGCGCUCGUCCCUUUUUCUUUCCUAUAUUCAUUGUCCCAAUCCAUGUGUGCCUGGCCAGCGUUUGUUCUAUGUGGAGUGUAGAUCAAUAAUCACAAGACGCCCCAGAAGUGAGGGAAAAAUAUGACAAUAAAUAAAUAGAAAUUAUCAAGUGGAAAGCAGAAAAAGGCCACCUCCACACCCAG